GCUUAACACAUGCAAGUCGAGGGGCAGCAUGGAGUCAGCUUGCUGACUCUGAUGGCGACCGGCGCACGGGUGAGUAACGCGUAUCCAACCUGGCCCAUAGUAGGGAAUAGCCCGGCGAAAGUCGGAUUAAUGCCCUAUGCAGUCCGACGAAGGCAUCUGACUUGGACUAAAGAUUGAUCGCUAUGGGAUGGGGAUGCGUCUGAUUAGGUAGUCGGCGGGGUAACGGCCCACCGAGCCAUCGAUCAGUAGGGGUUCUGAGAGGAAGGUCCCCCACAUUGGUACUGAGACACGGACCAAACUCCUACGGGAGGCAGCAGUGAGGAAUAUUGGUCAAUGGGCGGGAGCCUGAACCAGCCAAGUAGCGUGCAGGAUGACGGCCCUAUGGGUUGUAAACUGCUUUUGCCGGGGAAUAAAGUGCGGCACGUGUGCCGUUUUGCAUGUACCCGGAGAAUAAGGACCGGCUAAUUCCGUGCCAGCAGCCGCGGUAAUACGGAAGGUCCGGGCGUUAUCCGGAUUUAUUGGGUUUAAAGGGAGCGCAGGCUGAUGCUUAAGCGUGACGUGAAAUGCCGCGGCUCAACCGUGGAAGUGCGUCGCGAACUGGGUGUCUUGA
rnacentral:rRNA from 1 species